CGUCGGGGGCUCGUGGGCUCGUCGUCGUCGUGAAUGUUGUGAAACGAAGGUGAAGAAAGAAGAAUCGACGAAGUCAGGUUGAAAGUUAGGAAACAGAGGAGAGCAAGAGAGAGAGAGAGAGAGAGAAAGCGAGAGAGAAAGAGAUUGAGACAGUGAUAAAGAGAAGUGGAGAAAAACGAAGGAGAGUAACAUACAAGUGAAACGUCGUUCAGAUAAGAGAACAGAAGAAACGAACACACACACACACUCCCACAUACAAAUACACAAAGGACACACGAGUGACCAGCGAAAAGUAGAGAAGCUCUCGAGUAAAGGACAGACGCCAACGUAAUACAGACGAGAAAGUUGUUGAAUUCGGGAACAGACGACAGAAAGGGUAUAUCGCGAAAACAGGAGCGAGGCUCGAGGGGAAAAAAAAGACGGUCUUUAAUGUCUAUCGCGGUUGGAGGGGCCUGGCCGUCGAUUUGCCGUCCGCGGAUCUAGUGCUCGUUUGAAAUCGGGCUACAGCCUCUCUCUCGCGUGUGGCGGCGCGCGCGCGUACGUGUGUUGUGUGUUACGUGCACCUCAGGCGAACGCAGCCAGCGAGGCGCGCGGACGGACGAGAAAAGGAGGAAGAGGUGGCGGAGGAAGAGGAGGAAGAGAAGGAGAGGCGGUUGAACAGGCGGGUGGAGAGAAAAGUUCGAGAAGCGGCGGCAGCAGCGCCAACCAACAACAUCAUCAACAUCAACAA